rnacentral:rRNA from 1 species
UACGGAGGGUGCAAGCGUUAUCCGGAUUCACUGGGUUUAAAGGGCGCGUAGGAGGGCAGGUAAGUCAGUGGUGAAAUCUCCGAGCUUAACUUGGAAACUGCCGUUGAUACUAUCUGUCUUGAAUAUUGUGGAGGUGAGCGGAAUAUGUCAUGUAGCGGUGAAAUGCUUAGAUAUGACAUAGAACACCAAUUGCGAAGGCAGCUCGCUACACAUAUAUUGACUCUGAGGCACGAAAGCGUGGGGAUCAAACAGG